rnacentral:rRNA from 1 species
CCUACGGGUGGCAGCAGUCGAGAAUCAUUCACAAUGGGGGAAACCCUGAUGGUGCGACGCCGCGUGGGGGAAUGAAGGUCUUCGGAUUGUAAACCCCUGUCAUGUGGGAGCAAAUUAAAAAGAUAGUACCACAAGAGGAAGAGACGGCUAACUCUGUGCCAGCAGCCGCGGUAAUACAGAGGUCUCAAGCGUUGUUCGGAAUCACUGGGAGUAAGGCGUGCGUAGGCUGUUUCGUAAGUCGUGUGUGAAAGGCGCGGGCUCAACCCGCGGACGGCACAUGAUACUGCGAGACUAGAGUAAUGGAGGGGGAACCGGAAUUCUCGGUGUAGCAGUGAAAUGCGUAGAUAUCGAGAGGAACACUCGUGGCGAAGGCGGGCUCCUGGACAUUAACUGACGCUGAGGCACGAAGGCCAGGGGAGCGAAAGGGAUUAGAUACCCUUGUAGUC